rnacentral:rRNA from 1 species
GGAGGAAAAGAAACCAACAGGGAUUGCCUCAGUAACGGCGAGUGAAGCGGCAAGAGCUCAACUUUGGAAUCGCUCCGGCGAGUUGUAGUCUGGAGGUGGCCACCACGAGGUGUUUUAGCAGCAGGCAAGUCCUUUGGAACAAGGCGCCAGCGAGGGUGACAGCCCCGUACCUGCUUUUGCUAGUGCUUCCUGUGGCCCACCGACGAGUCGAGUUGUUUGGGAAUGCAGCUCUAAGUGGGUGGUAAAUUCCAUCUAAGGCUAAAUAUUGGCGAGAGACCGAUAGCGAACAAGUACAGUGAUGGAAAGAUGAAAAGCACUUUGAAAAGAGAGUGAAACAGUACGUGAAAUUGUUGAAAGGGAAGGGCUUGCACCCAGACACGGUUUUACCGGGCCAGCAUCAAGUAGAACGGGGUUAAAAGACCUGGGGAAUGUAGCUACCUCUUGGUAGUGUUAUAGCCCUUGGGUGAUGACCCCCGUUUUGCUUGAGGACAGCGGUCUCUAGGAUGCUGGCGCAAUGGUUGCAAGCCACCCGUCUUGA